CCCACGACUCAUUUGUUCUCAUGAAUUCAGGAACAGGCAUUAAAUUUAAUGAGGGAGAAAUGCCCGGUGGUUGGUUGUUAGGAGACAGUGGCUAUGCCUUAAGACCAUGGUUGAUGACACCCAUCCUUCACCCUGCAACAGAGCCAGAUGAGCGCUACAGCCAGGCACAACGAAAAACACGUAGUGUUGUGGAGAGGUGUAUUGGGGUAGUGAAGUCAAGGUUUAGGUGUAUCGACCGUUCUGGUGGAGUGCUCCAGUACACUCCUGAGAGGGCAUGUAAAAUGAUUACCUGUGCUUUUAUCCUCCACAACAUCUGCAUUAUGUACCGCUUGCCAAUCCCUGACAUCUCAGAUGAUGAUGACCCCGAGGGAGAUGUCCCAGUCCCUGCCCCAUGUAACACUGGCAUGCAAGUGAGACAAGACCUCAUAAGGAGGAGAUUCAUGUGAAGAAAAACCACAAUAAACAACACAUGAAAACCUC